rnacentral:snoRNA from 1 species
GUCCCCUAUGACGAUAUAAGAUUUACCAUGCUAAUUCCGAAAUUUGUUUCUGAUGAAACGUUUAUGUUAUGAUUAUCUGAGGGAGCA